rnacentral:rRNA from 1 species
UUAAGCGACUAAGCGUACACGGUGGAUGCCCUGGCAGUCAGAGGCGAUGAAGGACGUGCUAAUCUGCGAUAAGCGUCGGUAAGGUGAUAUGAACCGUUAUAACCGGCGAUUUCCGAAUGGGGAAACCCAGUGUGAUUCGUCACACUAUCAUUAACUGAAUCCAUAGGUUAAUGAGGCGAACCGGGGGAACUGAAACAUCUAAGUACCCCGAGGAAAAGAAAUCAACCGAGAUUCCCCCAGUAGCGGCGAGCGAACGGGGAGCAGCCCAGAGCCUGAAUCAGUGUGUGUGUUAGUGGAAGCGUCUGGAAAGGCGCGCGAUACAGGGUGACAGCCCCGUACACAAAAAUGCACAUGCUGUGAGCUCGAUGAGUAGGGCGGGACACGUGGUAUCCUGUCUGAAUAUGGGGGGACCAUCCUCCAAGGCUAAAUACUCCUGACUGACCGAUAGUGAACCAGUACCGUGAGGGAAAGGCGAAAAGAACCCCGGCGAGGGGAGUGAAAAAGAACCUGAAACCGUGUACGUACAAGCAGUGGGAGCCUCUUAAUGGGGUGACUGCGUACCUUUUGUAUAAUGGGUCAGCGACUUAUAUUCUGUAGCAAGGUUAACCGAAUAGGGGAGCCGAAGGGAAACCGAGUCUUAACUGGGCGUUAAGUUGCAGGGUAUAGACCCGAAACCCGGUGAUCUAGCCAUGGGCAGGUUGAAGGUUGGGUAACACUAACUGGAGGACCGAACCGACUAAUGUUGAAAAAUUAGCGGAUGACUUGUGGCUGGGGGUGAAAGGCCAAUCAAACCGGGAGAUAGCUGGUUCUCCCCGAAAGCUAUUUAGGUAGCGCCUCGUGAAUUCAUCUCCGGGGGUAGAGCACUGUUUCGGCAAGGGGGUCAUCCCGACUUACCAACCCGAUGCAAACUGCGAAUACCGGAGAAUGUUAUCACGGGAGACACACGGCGGGUGCUAACGUCCGUCGUGAAGAGGGAAACAACCCAGACCGCCAGCUAAGGUCCCAAAGUCAUGGUUAAGUGGGAAACGAUGUGGGAAGGCCCAGACAGCCAGGAUGUUGGCUUAGAAGCAGCCAUCAUUUAAAGAAAGCGUAAUAGCUCACUGGUCGAGUCGGCCUGCGCGGAAGAUGUAACGGGGCUAAACCAUGCACCGAAGCUGCGGCAGCGACGCUUAUGCGUUGUUGGGUAGGGGAGCGUUCUGUAAGCCUGCGAAGGUGUACUGUGAGGUAUGCUGGAGGUAUCAGAAGUGCGAAUGCUGACAUAAGUAACGAUAAAGCGGGUGAAAAGCCCGCUCGCCGGAAGACCAAGGGUUCCUGUCCAACGUUAAUCGGGGCAGGGUGAGUCGACCCCUAAGGCGAGGCCGAAAGGCGUAGUCGAUGGGAAACAGGUUAAUAUUCCUGUACUUGGUGUUACUGCGAAGGGGGGACGGAGAAGGCUAUGUUGGCCGGGCGACGGUUGUCCCGGUUUAAGCGUGUAGGCUGGUUUUCCAGGCAAAUCCGGAAAAUCAAGGCUGAGGCGUGAUGACGAGGCACUACGGUGCUGAAGCAACAAAUGCCCUGCUUCCAGGAAAAGCCUCUAAGCAUCAGGUAACAUCAAAUCGUACCCCAAACCGACACAGGUGGUCAGGUAGAGAAUACCAAGGCGCUUGAGAGAACUCGGGUGAAGGAACUAGGCAAAAUGGUGCCGUAACUUCGGGAGAAGGCACGCUGAUAUGUAGGUGAAGUCCCUUGCGGAUGGAGCUGAAAUCAGUCGAAGAUACCAGCUGGCUGCAACUGUUUAUUAAAAACACAGCACUGUGCAAACACGAAAGUGGACGUAUACGGUGUGACGCCUGCCCGGUGCCGGAAGGUUAAUUGAUGGGGUUAGCGGUAACGCGAAGCUCUUGAUCGAAGCCCCGGUAAACGGCGGCCGUAACUAUAACGGUCCUAAGGUAGCGAAAUUCCUUGUCGGGU